CAGCCGCCGCGGGAAUACGUAGGUCCCGAGCGUUGUCCGGAUUUAUUGGGCGUAAAGGGAGCGCAGGCGGUUUAGUAAGUCUGGAGUUAAAGGCAUUGGCUCAACCAAUGUAUGCUUUGGAAACUGUUUGACUUGAGUGCAGAAGGGGAGAGUGGAAUUCCAUGUGUAGCGGAGAAAUGCGUAGAUAUAUGGAGGAACACCGGUGGCGAAAGCGGCUCUCUGGUCUGUCACUGACGCUGAGGCUCGAAAGCGUGGGUAGCGAACAGGAUUAGAGACCCCCGUAGUCCCUGUCUCUUAUACA
rnacentral:rRNA from 1 species